GAUGAACGCUGGCGGCGUGCCUAAUACAUGCAAGUCGAGCGAACGGACGAGAAGCUUGCUUCUCUGAUGUUAGCGGCGGACGGGUGAGUAACACGUGGAUAACCUACCUAUAAGACUGGGAUAACUUCGGAAAACCGGAGCUAAUACCGGAUAAUAUUUUGAACCGCAUGGUUCAAAAGUGAAAGACGGUCUUGCUGUCACUUAUAGAUGGAUCCGCGCUGCAUUAGCUAGUUGGUAAGGUAACGGCUUACCAAGGCAACGAUGCAUAGCCGACCUGAGAGGGUGAUCGGCCACACUGGAACUGAGACACGGUCCAGACUCCUACGGGAGGCAGCAGUAGGGAAUCUUCCGCAAUGGGCGAAAGCCUGACGGAGCAACGCCGCGUGAGUGAUGAAGGUCUUCGGAUCGUAAAACUCUGUUAUUAGGGAAGAACAUAUGUGUAAGUAACUGUGCACAUCUUGACGGUACCUAAUCAGAAAGCCACGGCUAACUACGU
rnacentral:rRNA from 1 species